rnacentral:rRNA from 1 species
UACGGAGGGUGCGAGCGUUGUCCGGAAUCAUUGGGCGUAAAGGGCGCGUAGGCGGGUUCGCAAGUCUGUGGUGAAAGCCUCCAGCUUAACUGGAGAAGUGCCAUGGAUACUGCGAGCCUCGAGGAGGGUAGGGGCAUCUGGAACAGUAGGUGGAGCGGUGAAAUGCGUUGAUAUCUACUGGAACUCCGGUGGCGAAGGCGAGGUGCUGGACCCUUUCUGACGCUGAGGCGCGAAA